AGUUUGAUGAUGGCUCAGAAUGAACGCUAGCGGGAGGCUUAAUACAUGCAAGUCGAGCGAGAAGGCACCUUCGGGUGUUGGGCAGCGGCGAACGGGUGAGUAACGCGUACACAAUCUACCUUUCAGUUUGGGAUAGCCCUGGGAAACUGGGAUUAAUACCGAAUAGUAUCAAGUAUUGGCAUCAAAACUUGAUUAAAGUUCCGGCGCUGAAAGAUGAGUGUGCGUACUAUUAGCUAGUUGGUGAGGUAAUGGCUUACCAAGGCUACGAUAGUUAGGGGGCGUGAGAGCGUGACCCCCCACACGGGUACUGAGACACGGACCCGACUCCUACGGGAGGCAGCAGUAAGGAAUAUUGGACAAUGGGCGCAAGCCUGAUCCAGCCAUCCCGCGUGGAGGAUGACUGCCCUACGGGUUGUAAACUCCUUUUAUUAGAGAAGAAACCUCUCAAUUUAUUGAGAGCUGACGGUAUCUUAUGAAUAAGCACCGGCUAACUCCGUGCCAGCAGUCGCGGUAAUACGGAGGGUGCAAGCGUUAUCCGGAAUCACUGGGUUUAAAGGGUGCGUAGGUGGUUUAGUAAGUCAGAUGUGAAAGCCCGGCGCUUAACGUCGGAAUUGCAUUUGAUACUGCUAAACUUGAAUCAGGUUGAGGUGGGCGGAAUGUGGCAUGUAGCGGUGAAAUGCAUAGAUAUGCCAUAGAACACCAAUUGCGAAGGCAGCUCACUGGCCCUGAAUUGACACUGAGGCACGAAAGCGUGGGGAGCGAACAGGAUUAGAUACCCUGGUAGUCCACGCCCUAAACGA
rnacentral:rRNA from 1 species